UUCAAUAUAUAGAAGAGAAAAAAAAUAAUAAAACAAAAGAAAUUAAUUUUCAAUAUAUCCACAUCAUUAGCAUCAUUUAUCAUCAAAAACAAAUAUUCAACAUCAUCUUCUUUUACUCUCACUAAUAACUACACUACACACCACUCUCUCAUUCACUGCUUUCUCUUUCUCAUUCUCUUUCUCUCUGCUAGAAAAGAAAACCAUUUCUUCUUGCAGAGAGGACCCCAAAAAAAAAUA
rnacentral:lncRNA from 1 species